rnacentral:tRNA from 1 species
AGCCGGGUGGUGUAGCGGUCAAGCACGCCGGACUCGCCAUCCGGAGACCCCGGUUCGAAUCCGGGCCCGGCUACCA